rnacentral:rRNA from 1 species
AAUCCUUUAACGAGGAUCUAUUGGAGGGCAAGUCUGGUGCCAGCAGCCGCGGUAAUUCCAGCUCCAAUAGCGUAUAUUAAAGUUGUUGCGGUUAAAACGCUCGUAGUUGGAUCUGCGGCCUCGGAGAACGGUCCCCCGAAAGGGUGGUCACUGUCUCUCCUAGCCUAAACUCGAGUCGUCUCUAGGUGCUCUUUACCGAGUGCUUAGAGUGACUAGAACGUUUACUUUGAAAAAAUUAGAGUGCUUAAAGCAGGCGAAAUAGCCUGAAUAAGGUGCAUGGAAUAAUGGAAUAGGACCUCGGUUCUAUUUUGUUGGUUUUCGGAACCCGAGGUAAUGAUUAAGAGGAACAGACGGGGGCAUUCGUAUUCCGGCGCUAGAGGUGAAAUUCUUGGACCGCCGGAAGACGGACGACUGCGAAAGCAUUUGCCAAGAAUGUUUUCAUUAAUCAAGAACGAAAGUUAGAGGUUCGAAGGCGAUCAGAUACCGCCCUAGUUCUAACCGUAAACGAUGACAACCAGCGAUUAAUCGGCGUUAAUAUAUGACCCGAUUAGCAGCUUCCGGGAAACCAAAGUUUUUCGUUUCCGGGGGAAGUAUGGUUGCAAAGCUGAAACUUAAAGGAAUUGACGGAAGGGCACCACCAGGAGUGGAGCCUGCGGCUUAAUUUGACCCAACACGGGAAAACUCACCCGGCCCGGACACCGUAAGGAUUGACAGACUGAGAGCUCUUUCUUAAUUCGGUGGGUGGUGGUGCAUGGCCGUUCUUAGUUGGUGGAGCGAUUUGUCUGGUUAAUUCCGAUAACGAACGAGACUCUGGCCUAUUAAAUAGACGAUAUAUUUAAAAGUAUAUCGCGCUUCUUAGAGGGACAAGCGGCGUCUAGCCGCAUGAAAUAGAGCAAUAACAGGUCUGUGAUGCCCUUAGAUGUCCGGGGCUGCACGCGCGCUACACUGAAAGAAUCAGAGUGCGUUAUGCCUAGUUCGGAAGAACCGGGUAACCCAAGUAAAUUCUUUCGUGCUUGGGAUAGGGAAUUGCAAUUAUUUCCCUUAAACGAGGAAUUCCCAGUAAAUGCGGGUCAUAAGCUCGCGUUGAUUACGUCCCUGCCCUUUGUACACACCGCCCGUCGCUACUACCGAUUGGAUGACUUAGUGAGGUCUUAGGACCGAGGUAAAGGUGCUUGUAAUGAGUGCUUUUGCUUUGGAAAUUUGA